AUUGAACGCUGGCUGCAGGCCUAACACAUGCAAUUCGUGCGUGCGGCGGACGGGUGAGUAAUGCAUGGGGUUCUGCCUGAUUGCGGGGGCUCACUACUGGAACCGGUAGCUAAUACUGCAUCCCCUUAAAUGACCCCAUAUGAGAUUAGCUUAUAGGUGAGGUAACGGCGUACCUACGCGACUAUCCCUAGCUGGUCUGAGAGGAUGAUCAGCCACACUGGGACUGAGACACGGCCCAGACUCCUACGGGAGGCAGCAGUGGGGAAUAUUGCACAAUGGGCGCAAGCCUGAUGCAGCCAUGCCGCGUGUAUGAAGAAGGCCUUCGGGUUGUAAAGUACUUGCAGUCGGGAGGCGUUACCGACAGAAGAAGCACCGGCUAACUCCGUGCCAGCAGCCGCGGUAAUAC
rnacentral:rRNA from 1 species